rnacentral:rRNA from 1 species
UACGAAGGGGGCUAGCGUUGUUCGGAAUUACUGGGCGUAAAGCGCACGUAGGCGGAUAUUUAAGUCAGGGGUGAAAUCCCAGAGCUCAACUCUGGAACUGCCUUUGAUACUGGGUAUCUUGAGUAUGGAAGAGGUGAGUGGAAUUCCGAGUGUAGAGGUGAAGUUCGUAGAUAUUCGGAGGAACACCAGUGGCGAAGGCGGCUCACUGGUCCAUUACUGACGCUGAGGUGCGAAAGCGUGGGGAGCAAACAGG